rnacentral:rRNA from 1 species
AUUGAACGCUGGCGGCAUGCUUUACACAUGCAAGUCGGACGAGUGGCGAACGGGUGAGUAAUAUAUCGGAACGUACCGAGUAAUGGGGGAUAACUAAUCGAAAGAUUAGCUAAUACUGCAUAUUAUUCGAGCGGCCGAUAUCUGAUUAGCGAGUUGGUGGGGUAAAGGCCUACCAAGGCGACGAUCAGUAGCGGGUCUGAGAGGAUGAUCCGCCACAAGGGGACUGAGCCACGGCCCAUACUCCUACGUGAGGCAGCAGUGGGGAAUUUUGGACAAUGGGCGCAAGCCUGAUCCAGCCAUGCCGCUUGUCUGAAGAAGGCCUUCGUGUUGUAAAGUUCUUUCGGUGACGAGGCGUUAAUCACAGAAGAAGCACCGGCUAACUCCGUGCCAGCAGCCGCGGUAAUUC